GACUUGGAGGUUGUUCCCUUGAGGAGUGGCUUCCGGAGCUAACGCGUUAAGUCGACCGCCUGGGGAGUACGGCCGCAAGGUUAAAACUCAAAUGAAUUGACGGGGGCCCGCACAAGCGGUGGAGCAUGUGGUUUAAUUCGAUGCAACGCGAAGAACCUUACCUACUCUUGACAUCCACGGAAUUUGGCAGAGAUGCUUUAGUGCCUUCGGGAACGCUGAGACAGGUGCUGCAUGGCUGUCGUCAGCUCGUGUUGUGAAAUGUUGGGUUAAGUCCCGCAACGAGCGCAACCCUUAUCCUUUGUUGCCAGCGAUUCGGUCGGGAACUCAAAGGAGACUGCCGGUGAUAAACCGGAGGAAGGUGGGGAUGACGUCAAGUCAUCAUGGCCCUUACGAGUAGGGCUACACACGUGCUACAAUGGCGCAUACAAAGAGAAGCGACCUCGCGAGAGCAAGCGGACCUCACAAAGUGCGUCGUAGUCCGGAUCGGAGUCUGCAACUCGACUCCGUGAAGUCGGAAUCGCUAGUAAUCGUGGAUCAGAAUGCCACGGUGAAUACGUUCCCGGGCCUUGUACACACCGCCCGUCACACCAUGGGAGUGGGUUGCAAAAGAA
rnacentral:rRNA from 1 species